rnacentral:lncRNA from 1 species
UUUGUCGUUUACAACUUUCGAAGAGAAUAAAUUAUUUAUUUUCCUAUAUUACGCCUACCUUCUCUUAUUUCCCAAGAAAUUCUCUCCUCCAUUGUAUUCUUUUAACGUUUGUAAAAUUUUACAAAUACAACUAUUAUAAAACUUGACAUUGAAUCGAAAAUUAGGCAGAAAUCAAAUGCUGCAUGCACUUGAGUUCGCCACACGAUCGGAUGAAACUUCUUUGUGUAGAGGUUGAAUAAUAGAUAUGUUGUCUGCUGAGUUGAAGAAGAAGCACCCUCUGUGUACAAUGUCACAAGAAGGGUUAUCAGGGAAUUGUUAUUGCCCUGCGUUUAGCAUACCAUGGUGCAAGAAUGCCUUGUACAUUUUAGUAUAGUUGACUUUUCUCGUACUCGAUUUCGUUCAGCGUUCCUGGUAACCAUGAUCACAAGGUUAUCACUUAUCAGCAGCACCUUGUUCUGUAGGUUUGGUUCCACUUAGUGAUGAAGCUUCAGCUUUGUCAUUUCUUUUUGUAAAGCGCCUAGAAUGUGUGUUGAUUUUAUAUGUUUGAGAAUCUGACUUGGUUUUGAAGAUGUACUGCAAAUGAGCAACACUAAAAAUUUGAGAAAACAAAAGCAAACAAGAUGAUAGUCGAAGGUAAUACUAACUGAUGAACCCAGCAAUGAAGAAACCUUAAUGUAACAAGUACGUAAAGAGAUCAUGUUGAAAUGAUGAGAAGAUGUAGAAAAUAACAUGCUGGUAGCUGUAUGAAUGUGAUUUUCUAAUAUGUUCAUGAUUUCAAAUAAUAAUAAUAUGUACAAGUAAAGGUAAUGAUAAUGUCUAUAGAACACUUUUAUCUGAUGUGGUCUUCUUCAAUCUUAUGGAAUGAAGCACCUCAAGAUAACAGGUUAAUGAUUAAACAACUACAUAAAUUUAACAAAAUUCAGCAAUCGUCAUAAACCAAAUUACUACAAUAGUGUAACACAAAAAUGGGCGAUUAAGUGUUCUGUAUUGUGCCAGGAGUAGCCACAAAUGCGGCAGAAGAGGCUAAAUACGACUAUCAGAACAUUAUCAGCUACAUGUUCUUAAAUGUUUAUUAGGUACUUCAUUAUAACUGUCAUUGAAACGUAAAAGGGUUCCUCAUAUCAUGGUCAUUUAGCAAAAAAUGUUAUCUAAUUAUUCCCCAACAAAAGUUGCUAUCGCCAAUCUUGAUAUCUUAUGUACAAAGAGUAUACACAUAAAAACAUAUGUUAAAAAAGGUUAUGGGGAUAGCAAGAGCUUGAAGGUUUAAGAUAAAAACCGAGGAAAUGAACUUACCAGUGUUCCCCCUGUCAAGCACCCGACCUUAUAUUAAACCAAUACCUGCAAUUAAUUGACAAGUAUUGCAUAUAUAAGCUAAAACUCCUGCUCUAACUUCUAAUUUAGGUAAAAAGAUGUAAAAUUUAGGUAAUAAGAUGUAAAAAGAGAUCCUGAGGGAACAUCAAGCAAAGAAAACAAAUAUCGAUAUUAAUACUUGCAUGCUCACCUGAACUUAAAACUUCCCAAGUAUAUUGUCGAGUUUACAAGGUUUUGGAAACUGAUUUAUGUAAUGUUUUCAAUGUGAGUGACACAAGAGGAUAAUGUUUGCAAUGUGAGUGACAAAGAGGAACCGAAAUAGAAGAAAUCAAGGAAUAGUGCUUCAAAGUCAUAAUGGUAGUUUCUUCCAAUUCAUGGCUUCUCAGUUGGCAACAUGAUGACUCCAAUGUCAACUUUUGUUCAUCGGUCAUGUUGUUCGCCUUAUUACGAGGAUCGGCACUUUCACUUUGUCCUGCAUCAGAAGAUUUUCUUUUCCUAUCAUCACAGGUGUGAAUAAUUACCUCCAUCACAAUUAAAAGUUUUUGAAAUAAAAGAAAUUUAGAUAUGCAUUGAUCACUGCAGACACAAACUUGAAAAUAAAAUUGUGCAGGUACUUUAAUGACGAAACUUUGAUCAGCAUGGAAUCAAGGGUUGUGCAUUGAAGAAUCAAUCGGAGUUUGAUUUUUCCCCUUGAUAAAACAGUGUAUGUAUAUUAAAAAGAAAAUCUCAAACACCAUAUGUCACCUUGAAGUUGCUUGUUUAUUCCGGUUCCAAUUCCUCUUUUUCAUACAAUUGAUUGCAGCAUUGUAUGGAGAUACAAUUUGCUUCCACAGCAAAUUACAUAUCAAAACUGUCAUACACAGGUAGAGAAAUAAAAUGCCACAGAGAAUUCAAUAUUAGUCAUUAGAAUAUACUCCUAGUAUAAUUAAGAGUUCCCUAACAUCAUGUUUCCAAGUAUUAAUAAGGAGUUACUGUUUCCUUAGAUUGUGUUUCUUAGUAUAAUUAGGAUUUAUUAUAGGUGGCGAUAUAUGUCCAAGUUGGGGUGGUUAAUAAUCAACCAUGCUAAACGAGAUCCAUUCACCAUUGCGUAAAUUAAUACCUAGGUAAAUUAUAGGGGACAAUGACAAUCCAUCAAUUUUUAAUUGACUAUUUUAUUACAUCAUAAUCAAGGGGAAAAAAGAUGAUAAAUGGAAAGAAAAAUAAACACUAAAAUUAAAGGGUGAGUUGUAAGCAUAGCUUGGAGAGUAGGAAUAUAUAUUUCUAAAAGGCACCUCUCGUGACAGGUGAUGUGAAUACUAGAUCAGAUCUUCAAGCUUUAACAACAGACUAAAUUGAGAAAAAAAAUCAAGAUAUGUGUUGAAGAAGAUGCAGAAGAACUACGUUACCUCAGUCGAACCCUCGAGGUGAUCCUUUACUCGUAAUCAAUCAGUUCCCUCUCUACAAAGUGAAACAGGAUUACAUCUUGGUAGCUUUCAGCAUCUCAAAACUUUGCGCCGCGGGGGUAACCCUUUACCCCAAACCCCAUAUAACAUACUCAAUUUAUAUGAAAACUGUAGGGUUAGGUCUUUGGGAUUGUAUUUUGAUCAAGGGUUGAAAAUGAUAGUUAACUCAUCCAACGGCCAGUAUGUCGACUCUAGAAGGUUCUGUUCAAUCUAAAUGCGAUGAAGGGUUGAAAAUGACAGUUAACUCAUCCAACGGCCAGUAUGUCAACUCUAGAAGGUUCUGUUCAAUCUAAAUGCGAUGAAGGGUUGAAAAUGAUAGUUAACUCAUCCAACGGCCAGUAUGUCGACUCUAGAAGGUUCUGUUCAAUCUAAAUGCGAUGAAGGGUUGAAAAUGAUAGUUAACUCAUCCAACGGCCAGUAUGUCGACUCUAGAAGGUUCUGUUCAAUCUAAAUGCGAUGAAGGGUUGAAAAUGAUUGAUCCUGAUCUAAUGGCUCAAAAAACAGUUCAAGAAUGUUCCUUCGACGUGAAAAUGCUCACACGUGUUGUGGUCGCAAUGAAAAUUUUGGAAACAACACAAAAUAGGAAUUCUUUUUUUCAUAAUAAAAAUUUUCAAAUUCCCAAAGAACAAAAACGGAAAAUAAACACAAGCAAAUUCCAUUAUUUAAUAUCCAUGAAUACCAAAUCCAGCAUACAAAUCAUCUAACUGCUCUGCCAGACUAAAUUAGAUGAAAUCAAUAUAUUUUCGUAUACAUAUGAUUUAACAAUAUACAUAUAUAUAUACGGUCAGGAUCAAGAGCAUUCUCCUUAAAUAGCAUUCCUCCUUAAAUAGCAUUCUUUUAUUAAAACUACGUCGUUUUGGAGGGAUGCGGUGGCAUUUUUGUAAAUACAAUGCCACCGCGUAUUUACAAAAAUGCCACCGCGUCCCUCCAAAACGACGUAGUUUUAAUAAAAGAAUGCUAUUUAAGGAGGAAUGCUAUUUAAGGAGAAUGCUCUUGAUCCUGACCGUAUAUAUAUAUGUAUAUUGUUAAAUCAUAUGUAUACGAAAAUAUAUUGAUUUCAUCUAAUUUAGUCUGGCAGAGCAGUUAGAUGAUUUGUAUGCUGGAUUUGGUAUUCAUGGAUAUUAAAUAAUGGAAUUUGNNNNNNNNNNNNNNNNNNNNNNNNNNNNNNNNNNNNNNNNNNNNNNNNNNNNNNNNNNNNNNNNNNNNNNNNNNNNNNNNNNNNNNNNNNNNNNNNNNNNAUUUUUUCUUGUUUGAGGUCACAAUUUGGAGAAUCAGCAGAUGGUAGCGAAGCGCAUGAAAUAGCACAUAUAUUCACAAAAGUGCGGUAGAAUGCAGUUAAUAACUAUAUAUCUAUUAUUGGAUAAAUGCAGACAGUAACCAAUGGUCAAAGAUGGUUGUCAAAGAAAAAGAACAGAAGAUGUUUGUUUAGAACUACGGAAGAUGUUUGUAGCUAAUAAAUCUAUCGCAAGGAUAGUAGUAUCUGUCUAUCUGAAAGUGAAUUUGUAAUAGAGUUCACUGGAGAGGUAUAAAUUAUAAUAUCAAUCAUGAUAGUAGUUCAGGCAUUUUGAUGAAUGUGCACCGUUCUCAUAAGAAUCUUUAUGUACAUUAUAUGCAAGCCUCUCAGAGGGUCGCCUAAAUAGAUCUAUAUAGGCUACAAACACACAAACCAUUACACUCAUAUGGCGAAGUUCAAGAGUCUCCAUCUGUAUUUUGAUUCCCUUUUCUUUUGUACACAUGUUCCACAACGGUUUCUAUGUUCAUGGACUUGGAGCACUGCGUCUUCUGUGUAUUUGUCCACCAUAUGUAAGAUGGUCGUUUGUCAGGCACAAUCCAAUUUUGAGUGUCUUAAUCUUAUGGACCUACCAAUGAACUAACAAAGCCACUGAUAAAAUCACUAAUCAAAUGAUUAAAAUCCGUCAAUUCAAUCCCAUUCUUCUCUCUCCUCUUCUUCAACAACACAUUGCUCUCUCUCUAUCCGAACCCACAAUUGCAUAUAUGUUCUUCAUUUUGGGUAUUUAAUGAAUUCUUAAAUGCUUUGAAAGUGAGCCUGGUGUGGUAGCAGCUUGCACCAGACACAAAAUCAUAUAAUGGGGCGUUGAGCAAGUAAUGCAAUUAACAUGAGCCGAAUGAUCCAGUUGACAACCAUUUAUCUAAAUCACUGUGAUGAUCUACUUCAUGUUUCCUAUAAAAUAUAUAACUCCCCCGCACUAGCCUAGGUGAUUGAAAUUCCUACAAGGAUGCAGCUUCAUUCAGCUAUCUUUGGCAUCUAGCAAAUAACAAUCAUUACAAUGAGUAGCAAGAUUAAAAUUUUUCUUGCUUAAACACAUUAACUUAAGUGACUGCAUAUCUCCGCUAUACGGCUAUACCUAUUAGGAUUGAAACUCAAGCCCUUUUACCAUGUUCUUGAUCAACCCAUCUCAGGCUAUGCAUAUUUUACUAGUAACAAAACAAGAAAAAAGAAAAAAAAAUUGCAGUACUCCAAUUGCUAGGAAAUUUAUAGGUGAAAACAUCACAAAUCUUGUACUAGAAAGUUAGAUAUUCAACAAAUGCGGCUAAAUCUCUCAUAAACAUAUACAAUUCGUUCCCAUAUAGUAAUAAUAGCAAGCAUUCAAUAAAAAUAUGAAUUAAUCACUCAGCUUACAUGUAAUUGGAACCAUCAUCUUGAAAUUACAGGAGCUACUAGUAAUAUGUGAAUGAGAUGAUACUCAUUAAUAAGCAUAGCAAUAAACGAAACAGAAACAUGAACAUAUAUAAUUUACGCAUCUAUAUAGAGAGAGAAAGCAUACCUUUCAAUCUGUUUAACAAUUUGGAAGCUGUAGGCACCAAAUGAAGCAGCCUGGAAUGCCAAUGUUAAAAUUA